UGUGUGUGUAUUUGUCAGAUCGUCUUGAAAUUUAACUAAGAAUAUGACAGCUCUUCCUUCAAAGAACUGCUCUUUUCAGUACCAGUCACAUCAGGCUCCGCGGUCCCUGGAUGCCACCUGUCUGCUGCUGUUGAUUAUACUUGGGAAAGUGUUGUUAAACGUCCUCAUCCUCAGAGUGAAAAGGAAAGACACCUCGUGGAGCUUUAUGGAGUACUUCUGCUUUUCACUAGCACUUGUUGAUCUCCUGCUGUUGGUAAACAUUUCUGUUCUGACCUACUUCAGGGACUUUGUAGUUCUAGGUAUUAGGUUUACUAACUACCACAUAUGUCUGCUCACACAGAUCGUUUCCUUCGCUUACGGCUUCUUGCAUUAUCCAGUUUGCUCCCUGGCUUGUAUAGACUACUGGUGUAAUCUGUCCAGAGCCACCAAGCCUUCAUCUAGGUGGCAAAAGUUACUUUAUUUGUUGACAGUCAUUUUAACUUGGAUCUCAGUCCUUGCUUAUGUUUUGGGUGAUCCAGCCAUCUCGGCAAGCCUAAAGACACACAAGACUUCUGUGAACCAAUGUCCCUCCUAUGUCAGCACUCAGAGUCACUGGCUAUCACUGUCUAUGUUGAUGAUUUUAUCUGUGGCCUUUCUGA
rnacentral:lncRNA from 1 species